CCCUUAGAUGUUCUGGGCCGCACGCGCGCUACACUGACUGGUGCAACAAGUGUCUGACCUUGGCUCGAGAGGCCUGGGCAACCUUUGAACGCCAGUCGUGCUGGGGAUAGAUUCUUGCAAUUAUUAAUCUUCAACGAGGAAUGCCUAGUAAGCGCAAGUCAUCAGCUUGCGUUGAUUACGUCCCUGCCCUUUGUACACACCGCCCGUCGCUCCUACCGAUUGAAUGGUCCGGUGAAGCGCUCGGACCGCAGCCUCUUGACGGUUCGCUGUCGAUUGGCUGUGGGAAGUUCGUUAAACCUUAUCAUUUAGAGGAAGGAGAANUCGUAACA
rnacentral:rRNA from 1 species